rnacentral:rRNA from 1 species
CUCCGGCCCGAUCCUCCCACCCUUUGUGUACCUACCUCUGUUGCUUUGGCGGGCCGCGGUUCUCCGCGGCCGCCCCCCUCCCCGGGGGGUGGCCAGCGCCCGCCAGAGGACCAUCAAACUCCAGUCAGUAAACGAUGCAGUCUGAAAAACAUUUAAUAAACUAAAACUUUCAACAACGGAUCUCUUGGUUCUGGCAUCGAUGAAGAACGCAGCGAAAUGCGAUAAGUAAUGUGAAUUGCAGAAUUCAGUGAAUCAUCGAAUCUUUGAACGCACAUUGCGCCCUUUGGUAUUCCGAAGGGCAUGCCUGUUCGAGCGUCAUUACAACCCUCAAGCUCUGCUUGGUAUUGGGCACCGUCCUUUGCGGGCGCGCCUCAAAGACCUCGGCGGUGGCGUCUUGCCUCAAGCGUAGUAGAACAUACAUCUCGCUUCGGAGCGCAGGGCGUCGCCCGCCGGACGAACCUUCUGAACUUUUCUCAAGGUUGACCUCGGAUCAGGUAGGGAUACCCGCUGAACUUAAGCAUAUCAAUAAGCGGAGGAA